GAGGAAGCUGAGCCCAUGUGGAGUCCCCAGGGGUGGUCGAGUGAUAAUGUCACUUGUGCCAUAUGUACCCCCUUGGCAGAAUGACGGAUAUGCAAACUAAUUCCAGCUCAUAGAGGUGGGAAUCACUGCUGCUGGCGAAAGCAUGGGGCUUCCUGGAGGAGGAGACCUGGUGACCCACAGGCUGUCUGAAAUGGUCUGAAAACGAGCAGAAGUUAGGCCGAGUAGGCUGUCAGGGCAAAUUAAAGUGGCAGUCGAUGGUCAAGUCUCACGUCUGGAUAUUUAGCAGAUAACACUUCACGUGUGCGUGGGCCUCAGCAGAAGCAGAUGAAGUCCUCAGAGCAAAGAGAGAUUCCACCCCCAUGCCAAACAUAACAACAACAACAACAACAACAACAAAAUGGCAGCGAAGAGCUCUACCCUUUAAGAUGGCAAUCUAGAGACCCUGCCCUGAUGUCUGUCUUGCUUGAGUGUCCUGCAGAGUUUGAACCUAAGACUGCAACACGGAGUCUUCUCCAAACCCCCAGAGUGCUCUACAGGCAGGAUGUGCCAGCCCCAACGGUGCUUCAAAAGGCGGGUUCUGUGAAGGCCAGCACUUGGCUUCCGAGUUGUGUGCCCCUUAUUUCCAUUCCUGGGUGAAGAUUAAUGUUUCUGACAUGGCAGAGGGUACUACUUUAGACUGAGGAAGCGAGAUGAAGAGCCAAUUGUUUUCUGCAUCGAGUUUGUAAGAUGUAAACAAAUCUUGCUGCUGAUUGAAAAAGAGAACAACUAUUGCGACCGUCCUCAAAAGGAGGAGUCAGAUUACUGCCCAGUCUAAAGCAGCCACAUGCUGACAAGCCCUGUCUGCUGAGGCAGCUCUUCAGAUGUCUGGGGAAUGGAGACUGAUGGUCCCAGCAGGGGAGAGACUGUGUUGACUUCGGAUGUCUCCAGAAACAGGGAUGUCAUGGUUUGGAUUGGAUGGAUGUCAUGCACAGUUCCAAAGGAACAGCGCCAGUGUCUCCAGGCUGAAAACUCUGAAAUGGUGACGAGAAGCCCAGGCUCUUCUCAGAUGGUUUGUCACAGAGCAGGGAAGCGGACACAGCACCAACGAUGACAGGGUGAAGCUUCCGGACUGUGAAAUGUCUCGAAGAAAACCCUUUGCACCUGCAGAGCAGACAGUGGUGUGGGUCACAGCAGUAUCCCCUCCCCAGGAUGACCUUACUACAGUUUGGUGAUACAAACA
rnacentral:lncRNA from 1 species